GACGAACGCUGGCGGCGUGCCUAAUACAUGCAAGUUGAGCGCUGAAGGUUGGUACUUGCACCGACUGGAUGAGCAGCGAACGGGUGAGUAACGCGUGGGGAAUCUGCCUUUGGGCGGGGGACAACAUUUGGAAACGAAUGCUAAUACCGCAUAAAAACUUUAAACACAAGUUUUAAGUUUGAAAGAUGCAAUUGCAUCACUCAAAGAUGAUCCCGCGUUGUAUUAGCUAGUUGGUGAGGUAAAGGCUCACCAAGGCGAUGAUACAUAGCCGACCUGAGAGGGUGAUCGGCCACAUUGGGACUGAGACACGGCCCAAACUCCUACGGGAGGCAGCAGUAGGGAAUCUUCGGCAAUGGACGAAAGUCUGACCGAGCAACGCCGCGUGAGUGAAGAAGGUUUUCGGAUCGUAAAACUCUGUUGGUAGAGAAGAACGUUGGUGAGAGUGGAAAGCUCAUCAAGUGGCGGUAGCUACCCAGAAAGGGACGGCUAACUACGUGCCAGCCGCCGCGGUAA
rnacentral:rRNA from 1 species